GGCUUCGUGGUGUAACCAUAAGCACAACCGGCUUGCAAUCGGGAGGUCCCGAGUUCGAAUCCCGGCAAUGGCA
rnacentral:tRNA from 1 species